GGCGAACGCUGGCGGCGUGCUUAACACAUGCAAGUCGAGCGGUAAGGCCCUUUCGGGGGUACACGAGCGGCGAACGGGUGAGUAACACGUGGGUGACCUGCCCUUAGCUCUGGGAUAAGCCUAGGGAAACUGGGUCUAAUACCGGAUAUGACUCCAUAACGCAUGUUGGUGGGGUGGAAAGCCUUGUGCGGCUAGGGAUGGGCCCGCGGCCUAUCGAGCUUGUUGGUGGGGUGAUGGCCUACCAAGGCGACGACGGGUAGCCGGCCUGAGAGGGCGACCGGCCACACUGGGACUGAGACACGGCCCAGACUCCUACGGGAGGCAGCAGGUGGGGAAUCUUGCGCAA
rnacentral:rRNA from 1 species